AACGAACGCUGGCGGCAUGCCUAACACAUGCAAGUCGAACGAAGUCUUCGGACUUAGUGGCGCACGGGUGCGUAACGCGUGGGAAUCUGCCCUUGGGUGCGGAAUAACUUCUCGAAAGGGAUGCUAAUACCGCAUAAUGUCGUAAGACCAAAGAUUUAUCGCCCAAGGAUGAGCCCGCGUAAGAUUAGCUAGUUGGUGGGGUAAAAGCCUACCAAGGCGACGAUCUUUAGCUGGUCUGAGAGGAUGAUCAGCCACACUGGGACUGAGACACGGCCCAGACUCCUACGGGAGGCAACAGUGGGGAAUAUUGGACAAUGGGCGAAAGCCUGAUCCAGCAAUGCCGCGUGAGUGAUGAAGGCCCUAGGUGUAAAGCUCUUUACCAGGGAUGAUAAUGACAGUACCUGG
rnacentral:rRNA from 1 species